CGCAGCUGCUGCAGCUCCGGCCCCGGGCGCGCCGCUCGCUCUGCGCGCGUGUGCGCCACAGAUAGGGAGGGACGGAACGCGGCGGGGCGCGGGGGAACGUGGACAAUGCGAACGCUGCGGCCCUGGGCGCCCCGCCCGGGCGCGGACCACACGGCUGCGGGCCCGCCCCACAGCGCCCCGCGGCGUCCUUCCCAAAUCUGCGGUCCCCAGGCACUGUCUGCGGCUGUGACGGGGUCUCUUAGAGCUGUCGGGAGAGACUACCAGGCCACUGUCGCCAAGUUUGUAUUUCCCCUUGAGCUCUGAAGAUUCUCCUCUGUGUUAAGGGGCUGUCUUCUGUCAAAAAAUACUUGCCAGAGCCCAAGGAGACAGUAACUGCACCUUCAAAGUUUGUUUUUAAAUGAAUAUUCUGUCAUUGGCCUAUUUAUUUACAAUAUGUAUUUUUAAGUCCUCUCAUGACUUAGAAUGGAAAACAAGCAAACAUUGAUGAACAUGAAACAGGUUUCAUGAAACAAGUUUAAUAAAAAGUCAUGGUACAAACUUUUUUACUAUUUUUUUUUCUUAUUGCUAAUUUUUAAACUCUCUUACUUUUUUACUAAAAGUCUUUCCCACAAUAACCAGUAUCACACAAUCAAUGAAAAUGACUUAAAAGAGGAAAAUUGCUGUGGACCAUUAUUAAAAAAACAGCUCUAUUUUGUUCUCGUACUGAAACUUUUUGAAGGCCAGCUUGAUUUUCAAGUUGUGAUCUUGUGGACUUUACAAAGUGGGUAAUGCUAUUUGACUGUUGUUCAAAAAGCCAGAAGCAUGUAUCUGCAGUGCCAUGGGGUUGGAGAGGGAUACAGGAUUACACAGCUGUCUUCUUAGAUAAAUCUGACCUACUUAGCCUUCUCUGGAGGUAUUUUUCAUGCUGACUCAUGAACAACAGGAAAGUUAUGGCCCAUUAAGUAGCAUCCAUGUUUUGAAGUAAACUUCUUCUCCAAAGAAGACUCCUGUGUCAUUGAUGCCAUUAUUUGCCUGCAGAUGAAAACCAAGCAAGUCUAUAAAUGUGAGUUACAUCUCAACACAUUCUACAUAAAAUUGACAGUGAAGCAUCAAGUCCAAAUCACCUGUCUCUAGUCUAGAGAAGAUUCAACACACCAGGUCACAUGGUGGGUUGUAAAGACUGAAAGAGAUACUAUAUGGUAAGCAUCUAGUAUACGUGUUAAUAAAUGCUAGUAAUGAUAUUAUCUUGCAUGCACAUUGUGGGGACAUGCCAGACCUUUCUUGAAUAUGGUAAAUUUGAUACUGAUAUUCAAUUAUUUUAAUUACCUAUUCAUUAUCCCUGAUCCUUUAUAACUCAGACACGCUGGAAAUGGGAAUGUUUAAUGAAAAUGUACAUGUAACAGCUGUUUGCUCUCUAUCUAUUUUGGGCUUCACCCCAAUCACAACAAUAAAACCAAGGGUUGCAUUAAACAACCACUA